AGGUGUGUGGUGCAGCCAAGGAUGACUUGCCGGCAUGGUUCAGUUACUCAUAUAUGCUAGAACAUUUAUAAGCUUAUAUAUGCUAGAACAUAGCAUACUAUGUUAUGUACUUGGUUCAUAUGUGUAUACGUGCCUCUGUGAGUUUCGAUCGGCAAGUCGUCUCUGGCUACAUUAUUGCCUCC
rnacentral:pre_miRNA from 1 species